AAAAAGUGGAUGAGGGCCCGGGCCCAGGCCCAAAUAGAAAAGGUAAAGCGUGAGGGAUAUUCGGGCCAAUAUAUAGGAAUAGUGACACCGCUUUUUGUUCUUACCACCGUCUCCUCUCCUCUCCUAUUGAGCAGAGGUGAGUGCGGUGGUUGUUGGUGGCUUCCAUGGCGUUUGUUGAGUGAGGCAGUGAUGGAUGUUGACGUGUCCUGGCGAGGUGUUUCUGUUGACGCAGCCAUGGACACUGCACCCAGAGAAGGAGAGACGUGUUAUGUUCUGCUCUGGCGAGGCGAUUCACUCUGUAUUCGCAGCCACGACAUCGCGCUCUUUCCCCCUCUCUGUCUGACAAAACCUAAAUCUGAGCCUCUUCCUUCAAAGAUACGUUAAUUUCCUUUCUUCCUACUAAUUAACGCAACAACAAAACCAUUAUUUUCCCUAACUUUUAGAUCUAUUUGCGGUUUUAUUCAUAUUCCUUCUGUUUCCUACUACAUUUUUGUGUCAUUUCUUUGUGAUUUAUUUGUUCCCCAACUUUUAGAUUUAUCUGUGAUUUUAUUCAUAUUCGUUCUUUCUUCUACUCAUUUUUUUGUGUAAUUUAUUUUUGUUUGUUUGUGAGUAAAGAGUGACAUGCUGAUAUUUUGAUGACCGUCUAUCUGGUUAUCCCAAUGAAGUCAUUCAAAUGCAGGAAUUAAAAAAUGCUAUCUCUAUUAGUACACAUUUCUUUGUUGUAUAUCUCAGUACUACAAACAAUGCCAAACAAAUUCAAGUUGAUUUGGGACUGCUGUACACAUGAUCUAUUUUUAUCGUCAAUUUCCUUUCUUUUGUUCGUAAAUAAUUAGAAAUUAAGGGAGCGAUAGAUGUAUGAUGAGAUGGUAGACAUUUAAAUUAAAAUAAACAACAAACAGUAUCUCAUUUAAGAAUUAAAAUAAAUAAUGUUUAUAUUAACCACUUAAAAAUGGUAGACAUAGUAGUUUCAAUGCUUGCAAAGCAAGUUGUUCUUAGUAUUUCAAGAACAGGCAGACUUAAAAUUUCAAGGAAAGACGAACAGGCAUAUGGGUCCCUUUCCUAUUCUUUACAUCUUUCAAACUCUUUGUAAUUUUUCUUGUCACCUAAAAUUCGGAGCUCCAAAUCUUAAAUUCUCUUUUAUGUACUUUUUCUUAUGAUAUUCUGGUUCCAACAAAGUUUUAACUAUGAAGUGUAAACAAUUUAACGAAAUCGUUUCUCAUGAAAUAAUGUCUGUUUUGUUAAGAUUUCAAAUUUCAAUUUUUUUUUUAAAUUACACUAUUUUUGUGGUUUAAGAAACAAAUUACCAAAAUUGAUAAAAAAAUUUGUGAAGGUGUGGCGUGAGAAAACAGGGUAACACUAAUUGAUCAAGCGAAUUUUUUCGCAAAUAGUAUUAUUCAUCUGUUUUUUGUUUCUCCCACCCAAUUCUGGUGAGAAAAAUGCAAAAAAAUUCGUAUGUCGGAGACGAAUUGGCAUGUGACAGUGCUCCGAUCUUCUCUUCCACAAAAAAGAAAAAAAAAAGGUUAAAACCGUAAAUUACUAAUCUUCCAACAAUGAAGAAUAAAGAGUACUAGUUGAAAAAAUAAAAAUUCAAAGGAUUUUUUUUUAAAGAAAAUUAUAAAUAUACACUCUUCUAUUUUCCUAUACCUUUCUAACAUUUAAUAAAAACAAAUAUUUUAUUUUUCUGCUUGAUUGAUUUUAAUUUAUUUUAUAUAUUAAAAUAAAAAUACUCUUUUCUUGCUGUUAAAUUCUAGAGUAAAAAGAUAUUGUGUUUAUGUAUUUCGUUAUCCAUUGAUUAUUUAGUCUAUUGAUCUAUUUUUUUUUUAUUCUUUAGUUUACGAUUUUUGUUAUAUUGUUUUUUUUAUCUUGUUACAUGUUUUCAGUUUAUUAUAUUUAAGACUAAUGUGUUUGUAAUUUAUAUGGUUUUUUAGAAUUUUCUGAAAGAUUUUAUAAGUCUAAAUAGGUCAGAGCUGAAUUGAAAUAAUUAUAAGUCUAAAUAGGUGGUUUAUCUUAUUUUUACCUUCAAUAAAUGAACUACAAAAAACAAUGGAACUAUUUUUUUUUCUUUUUAUAUAUUUCAUAUAUAGAAAGAUGAAAACAGAGUAAUGCAAUACUUUUCUCUUCACCUCAUCGUCUUCAACAUUUUUCGCAUCUGUGUUUCUCAUGCAAUUCAUUUCGUAUAAAUACAAGCAUGCAUUUUCAUUCAUUAUUCACCUCUGUGUGUUGUGUGAAUAUUUUUUCUCGCAACACACACGGAGGUGCCUCAAAUGGAUUCCAAGAAUUGUAACCAUUGCGAGAGAACAGAGACAAAUCCUACGAUUUUGUUGCAGAAGAAUAUCAUUUUGCUUCUUUCUCGUUGGUAUGCCCUUCAAAUGGCUAUUGAAAAUCAAUGGGGUGGUUCUGACUCUCUUCAGAAAUCGCAACAACUUUCUGCUGAUUUAUUCUCCUUGUUCUCUAAAUCCAAAGCAUUGGUUCCUAUUGAAGAAUUAGAAAACCUACUCUAUGAAUGUAUGUUGCUUACAUUCAACACAGAGAUAGAAGAUGGCAGUAUUGAACAGGUAGCAGAACAAUUAUUGGCUAUUCAUGAAGAAUACUUGCUUCGUCAAUCAUCUUAAUAUUUCAAAGAACUACACUUCGAAAUAGUUAGAAGGUUUUUCACUUCAGAACAAACACGACUUUGGAAAGAUGAUUAUGUCUAAUUAUGUCUAAGGAGUUCAUUAAGAAACUAUCUGCUAUUGCUCCUACAAAGGAAGUGGGAAAAAUAUUGCAGAAGAUAAUAGUUAGAAUAAAGAAAUCUUUCAUGAUUACAAUUGAGUCCACAACUCAAACACAGUGCAGGUUCGAAAGGGGAAAAGUUUUUGCACCUGGAGCACGUAAGUUCCUCGCCUCUCAACCGCUGUUGUAUAUUAUUGACAGAGUUGUUAAUGAAGCAUUUCAGUUUGUUGCAUAUGUGAAAUUUUUGGUUCUUGAACUUUUUUUGUAUUGAGGAUGUCACUCAUAGAUUGGAUAUCCAAUAGUUGUAACUGUUGUACUCAACAACAUUAGUUGUUUGCAAUAAAAUUUUAGUGAU